rnacentral:rRNA from 1 species
AGUGAACGCUGGCGGUAGGCCUAACACAUGCAAGUCGAACGGCAGCACAGUAAGAGCUUGCUCUUACGGGUGGCGAGUGGCGGACGGGUGAGGAAUACAUCGGAAUCUACUUUUUCGUGGGGGAUAACGUAGGGAAACUUACGCUAAUACCGCAUACGACCUACGGGUGAAAGCAGGGGAUCUUCGGACCUUGCGCGAUUGAAUGAGCCGAUGUCGGAUUGGCUAGUUGGCGGGGUAAAGGCCCACCAAGGCGACGAUCCGUAGCUGGUCUGAGAGGAGGGUCGGCCACACGGGAACUGGGACACGGUCCAUACUCCUACGGGAGGCAGCAGUGGGGAAUAUUGGACAAUGGGCGCAAGCCUGAUCCAGCCAUACCGCGUGGGUGAAGAAGGCCUUCGGGUUGUAAAGCCCUUUUGUUGGGAAAGAAAAGCAGCAGGUUAAUACCCCGCUGUUCUGACGGUACCCAAAGAAUAAGCACCGGCUAACUUCGUG